rnacentral:lncRNA from 1 species
GUUUUCUCAGGCUCAAUUCUCUCUGCCUUUAAAAUAAGAUAUAUUGGGAGAUGGAUUAGGCAGGCCAGGAGAGGAUGGGGAAUUUUACCAAUUGAAGAUUCCAGAAAGAGGGGCCAAGAAACGGGAAGCUGUGGGGCAGACAGUGAAUAAGAAGUUUUCUGAUGAAAUCAGAGACUUACAUGAACUGCAUGGAAAAACUGUGGGCUAGGAAACUGACUCCCCACCUCAAACAGGAUCUCAGGG